rnacentral:rRNA from 1 species
UGACUGCGUACCUUUUGUAUAAUGGGUCAGCGACUUAUAUUCUGUAGCAAGGUUAACCGUAUAGGGGAGCCGAAGGGAAACCGAGUCUUAACUGGGCGUUAAGUUGCAGGGUAUAGACCCGAAACCCGGUGAUCUAGCCAUGGGCAGGUUGAAGGUUGGGUAACACUAACUGGAGGACCGAACCGACUAAUGUUGAAAAAUUAGCGGAUGACCUGUGGCUGGGGGUGAAAGGCCAAUCAAACCGGGAGAUAGCUGGUUCUCCCCGAAAGCUAUUUAGGUAGCGCCUCGUGAACUCAUCUUCGGGGGUAGAGCACUGUUUCGGCUAGGGGGCCAUCCCGGCUUACCAACCCGAUGCAAACUACGAAUACCGAAGAAUGUUAUCACGGGAGACACACGGCGGGUGCUAACGUCCGUCGUGAAGAGGGAAACAACCCAGACCGCCAGCUAAGGUCCCAAAGUCAUGGUUAAGUGGGAAACGAUGUGGGAAGGCACAGACAGCCAGGAUGUUGGCUUAGAAGCAGCCAUCAUUUAAAGAAAGCGUAAUAGCUCACUGGUCGAGUCGGCCUGCGCGGAAGAUGUAACGGGGCUAAACCAUGCACCGAAGCUGCGGCAGCGACACUAUGUGUUGUUGGGUAGGGGAGCGUUCUGUAAGCCGUUGAAGGUGUGCUGUGAGGCAUGCUGGAGGUAUCAGAAGUGCGAAUGCUGACAUAAGUAACGAUAAAGCGGGUGAAAAGCCCGCUCGCCGGAAGACCAAGGGUUCCUGUCCAACGUUAAUCGGGGCAGGGUGAGUCGACCCCUAAGGCGAGGCCGAAAGGCGUAGUCGAUGGGAAACAGGUUAAUAUUCCUGUACUUGGUGUUACUGCGAAGGGGGGACGGAGAAGGCUAUGUCAGCCGGGCGACGGUUGUCCCGGUUUAAGCAUGUAGGCGGAGGUUCCAGGUAAAUCCGGUACCUUGUUAACGCUGAGGUGUGAUGACGAGGCACUACGGUGCUGAAGUGAUAAAUGCCCUGCUUCCAGGAAAAGCCUCUAAGCAUCAGGUAACACGAAAUCGUACCCCAAACCGACACAGGUGGUCAGGUAGAGAAUACCAAGGCGCUUGAGAGAACUCGGGUGAAGGAACUAGGCAAAAUGGUGCCGUAACUUCGGGAGAAGGCACGCUGAUAUGUAGGUGAAGUCCCUGCGGACGGAGCUGAAAUCAGUCGAAGAUACCAGCUGGCUGCAACUGUUUAUUAAAAACACAGCACUGUGCAAACACGAAAGUGGACGUAUACGGUGUGACGCCUGCCCGGUGCCGGAAGGUUAAUUGAUGGGGUCAGCGGCAACGCGAAGCUCUUGAUCGAAGCCCCGGUAAACGGCGGCCGUAACUAUAACGGUCCUAAGGUAGCGAAAUUCCUUGUCGGGUAAGUUCCGACCUGCACGAAUGGCGUAAUGAUGGCCAGGCUGUCUCCACCCGAGACUCAGUGAAAUUGAACUCGCUGUGAAGAUGCAGUGUACCCGCGGCAAGACGGAAAGACCCCGUGAACCUUUACUAUAGCUUGACACUGAACACUGGUCCUUGAUGUGUAGGAUAGGUGGGAGGCUUUGAAGCGUGGACGCCAGUCUGCGUGGAGCCAUCCUUGAAAUACCACCCUUUAAUGGCUGGUGUUCUAACGUAGACCCGUGAUCCGGGUUGCGGACAGUGUCUGGUGGGUAGUUUGACUGGGGCGGUCUCCUCCCAAAGAGUAACGGAGGAGCACGAAGGUUGGCUAAUCCUGGUCGGACAUCAGGAGGUUAGUGCAAUGGCAUAAGCCAGCUUGACUGCGAGCGUGACGGCGCGAGCAGGUGCGAAAGCAGGUCAUAGUGAUCCGGUGGUUCUGAAUGGAAGGGCCAUCGCUCAACGGAUAAAAGGUACUCCGGGGAUAACAGGCUGAUACCGCCCAAGAGUUCAUAUCGACGGCGGUGUUUGGCACCUCGAUGUCGGCUCAUCACAUCCUGGGGCUGAAGUAGGUCCCAAGGGUAUGGCUGUUCGCCAUUUAAAGUGGUACGCGAGCUGGGUUUAGAACGUCGUGAGACAGUUCGGUCCCUAUCUGCCGUGGGCGCUGGAGAAUUGAGGGGGGCUGCUCCUAGUACGAGAGGACCGGAGUGGACGCAUCACUGGUGUUCGGGUUGUCAUGCCAAUGGCACUGCCCGGUAGCUAAAUGCGGAAGAGAUAAGUGCUGAAAGCAUCUAAGCACGAAACUUGCCCCGAGAUGAGUUCU